AGCUCCCUCAGCCUCUCCUGGGGCUCCAGCCCCUGCCCAGCUCCCUCAGCCCCUCCUCACAUGACGUAUGCUACAGACCCUGUUGCAGAAAGGCCUUCUCCAACCUGAACAAUCCCUGAUUUCAGCAGGUGGCUACUCUCAGGCUUUGCUUUCAUUUGCCACAACUUUUGUUAUGACUUUGCUGGUGCCAGGGGUGGAUCCUAUUUCCCUCAAGAGACAGGAGUAGUUUAUACAACAUCCAUGUGCAGCAGAGACAAGGUGAGAGAAUGUUGCUUAUAUCACAGCUUGGAUUCUGGUUGCUUUCCCAGAGGAAGACCAAGAUAGAAUAUCUCUGCAUUCACUGUCAUGGGGAAGACUCAGUACUGCUGUGAGAGAAAGCAGGAGCAUCUGAAGGAGCAUCCCCCAAAUUCCCUCUCUGUGCCUGAUUUCCUGGCUGGUUUAGGGACAGAUAGUUUUUGCUAAUGUUACUUUGCAUUAUAAAGUUUCCUUUGCUUUGGAAAAUAUUAACUUUGCUCCAUAGACAGACAGGCCCUACAGUUAUAGCUGGAAUAUCCUAAAUAUUUAGUUCCCAGUAAUAAUAGGCUAAACUACAGCACCACUAGAGGCAAAACCUACAUUAUUUAAAAUGACACUUCUCACAAAUAUCCAGUUAUGAGGUAAUUUUAUAUCAGCUGCUCUUAUAUAAAUUGGAAAAGGCAAACUGUCCUAUCAUCAGCAUUAAGGUUGGCAAUAAAAAUUACUCUGUAUUCAUAGCAAAUUUGGAGAUCUCCCUUUCCAUUAGAUUUCCCAGGAAACAUUGUGGUUGCCACCCUGAAGAAUUUUGCUGGUAGCAGCACCAGUGCCAACUUUGAGCUUCAGCCUCCUCAUGUUCCUCCUAUCUCUGCUCUGCAGGGGAGGGAUGGACGGGCACCCACAGCAGCCAGAGAUGACACUGCUGCUCAGACUGCCUGCCAAAAGCUCCUUGAAACACUGUUGAAGUCAGAACCGUGUCAGGGUUUUCUAUUUUGUUUCCUUCCAGCCCCUCUCCAAAUGCUCAGAGCACAUUUGUUGCAGGUCUGCAGCAGGACCCAGGCCAGUUUUCCAACAUCCUGCUGCAUGUUGAACCCAGAAGGUUCUGAGAAUAGUGAGGGGCACACAUGGAUGUUGCUGGAGACUUUCAUGCCAGCCACACCCUGGUGGCAGAGGUUAAAAUUUGUCUGCAGUGACCAAUAAUGAAUAUGCUGAAAUACAUAACAGGAGAAAUCUAUAGUGAGCCACUGUUGGAGACAGGUGCAAGAACUAAUGACGAGAUGAAAGCAGUGUCAGCACAUUGGACUGGCCCCAGAAAAGGCCCUGUCUGGAGAUCCCAGGGCUGCCCCAGUCAGCAUUUCUGUCAGCAUUUCUGGAGGAGCCAGCACAUGGCAUCAGUCAUGCCCAUUUGCCACUUACUUCAACAGAAUUAAAUACUGCUCUCAGGUGAGCUAAGCACCUUGACUGAAGCUCAGUUCUGGAUACUAUGG